rnacentral:rRNA from 1 species
GACGAACGCUGGCGGCGUGCUUAACACAUGCAAGUCGAACGAAGAGCGAUGGAAGCUUGCUUCUAUCAAUCUUAGUGGCGAACGGGUGAGUAACGCGUAAUCAACCUGCCCUUCAGAGGGGGACAACAGUUGGAAACGACUGCUAAUACCGCAUACGAUCCAAUCUCGGCAUCGAGGAUGGAUGAAAGGUGGCCUCUAUUUAUAAGCUAUCACUGAAGGAGGGGAUUGCGUCUGAUUAGCUAGUUGGAGGGGUAACGGCCCACCAAGGCGAUGAUCAGUAGCCGGUCUGAGAGGAUGAACGGCCACAUUGGGACUGAGACACGGCCCAGACUCCUACGGGAGGCAGCAGUGGGGAAUCUUUCGCAAUGGACGAAAGUCUGACGGAGCAACGCCGCGUGAGUGAUGACGGCCUUCGGGUUGUAAAGCUCUGUUAAUCGGGACGAAAGGUCCUCUUGCGAAUAGUUAGAGGAAUUGACGGUACCGGAAUAGAAAGCCACGGCUAACUACGUG